rnacentral:rRNA from 1 species
UGGGCAACCUGCCCCUCUCUCUGGGAUAACCCCGGGAAACCGGAGCUAAUACCGGAUACUCCGGCUGGACCGCAUGGUCCGGCCGGGAAAGGUCCGCCGGAGAGGGAUGGGCCCGCGGCCUAUCAGCUUGUUGGUGGGGUCAUGGCUCACCAAGGCGACGACGGGUAGCUGGUCUGAGAGGACACCAGCCACACUGGAACUGAGAUACGGUCCAGACCUCCUACGUGAGGCA